AUUGAUUUGAUUGUCUUCAACUUCUUGAUCCGAUCUGGAGCUUCAACUUGAUCCGAUCCUUAUCAACACCUUGAUCUGACCGCCAUCAAGUAUUCAUCUCUAUCCAGGCCUUGCGAACUUUUAGGCUUGCAACCGAUCAACCAAUGACGUGCAACCAAACAUUAUACAACCCAAUAAUAAAAAAUGAAAUAAAAAUUAAUUAUAUUUGAUAACUUUUAUCUCUAAUCUAUUGAGACACGUAGGUCUCCAAAUAAAUCGGCUUGUGCACGCAGGCACAAAUAUAGCCAUCUCUAAUACAAAGUCCUUAAUUUAAACAAAUUUAAAAUUACAGGAUUUUGCAUACACAUCAUACAUCGAAAUAUAAAUAGGUCGCUAUUCAUGAUCAUCACCGAUAUGUAUCUCAUACAUCACAUACAUAAAAAUUUU
rnacentral:lncRNA from 1 species